UACUGGUGACCAAGAUUCCAGCCUUGAGAAGAGAGCAACACUGAGGUUGAGAGUCCACGUAAUGGACAGGUUGAAGGGCUGUCCUUGGAGCAGGUGCCUGGAUUAAAAUCUCAGCUCAGCCUCCAAAUACCCAUGUGGCCUGGAAAAUCUACCCAGCUUCCCUAGGUCUUUCCUGUGUCUCCAUAGCACCAUUCGGCACUCUGAUAAGUUGGAGAUGAUGACAGGCACAUAGAUUGCGAAUGGAAUAGCAGUUUACAGGGAUCUCUAGAAGACAUAAUGCAGACGGGAUCAGAAGAUGGAAAAGCCAACAAAAGCUGAAUCAUUGACUACAUAGACACAAGGACAAGAAGGCUGCUGGGGAAGAAAACUGUCUCAGCACAGUGGGACCCUGCUGGAGUGGGGUGGGGUUCACUGAGUCUAGCGGUAGGGCCCUGAACUGCUCCCUAUGUAUAGUGGAGGGGGCAGGAGAGACCUCUGGGCCAGAGAAGUGGACUGUCACUGCAGAGAGGGCUUAGCUUUAGAAAAACAAAAAACAAAAAACAGUGAUUCCUAGCCGCCCCCCUUCUCAACUUUCUCAGUGACAGGGCAGCCCUGGCCUACUUUCUGCCAGAGUACCCUUCCACCUACUCAUCCCUGCCCUCCAUCCUGAAGGGAAGCCCUUCUAGGGAUGAACUUCACCCUUCAUUCUUUUUGUUCUGUGUAAGAUUCCGUUUUAUGAAAAUACCACAUUUGGGGGCACCUGGGUGGCUCAGUCGGUUGAACACCCAACUCUUGA